GACGAACGCUGGCGGCGUGCUUAACACAUGCAAGUCGAGCGGUAAGGCCCUUUCGGGGGUACACGAGCGGCGAACGGGUGAGUAACACGUGGGUGACCUGCCCUCAGCUCUGGGAUAAGCCUGGGAAACCGGGUCUAAUACCGGAUAUGACUCCAUGACGCAUGUUGUGGGGUGGAAAGCCUUGUGCGGCUGAGGAUGGGCCCGCGGCCUAUCAGCUUGUUGGUGGGGUGANGGCCUACCAAGGCGACGACGGGUAGCCGGCCUGAGAGGGCGACUGGCCACACUGGGACUGAGACACGGCCCAGACUCCUACGGGAGGCAGCAGUGGGGAAUCUUGCGCAAUGGGCGAAAGCCUGACGCAGCGACGCCGCGUGAGGGAUGACGGCC
rnacentral:rRNA from 1 species